AACGUAGGUGGCGAGCGUUAUCCGGAUUUACUGGGCGUAAAGCGUGUGCAGGCGGGGAACCAAGUGGUGUAUGAAAUUUCCCGGCUUAACCGGGAAGGGUUAUGCCAGACUGGUUUUCUGGAGUGCGAGAGAGGGGCGUGGAAUUCCGGGUGUAGUGGUGAAAUGCGCAGAUAUCAGGAGGAACACCGGUGGCGAAGGCGGGUCUCUGGGCAGUAACUGACGCUGAGGAGCGAAAGCGUGGGGAGCGAACAGG
rnacentral:rRNA from 1 species